ensembl:snoRNA LOC120097592 small nucleolar RNA SNORA48
ACCCCCUGGCAGUGGGCAAAGCGACACUUUGUUGGUGGUGGUGUCCUUAUUUCAAUCAGGGGCAGAGAGGAUGGCAGUCCCCUGUUCAUCCUAGCUUGAUGUCUGGCUUGGUGGCUAAAGCUGUUUUAUACCUAGGACUCAAAA